UUUUAUUCAAGCUUAUGGUUAAUCAUUGCUGAUUGCCAUGAAAAUUGUACUCUGUACAUCUUGCAUGUAUAAGUCAGGUAUGAAAGGCUGAUCACCUUCAUUACCAGUUGGUUCAGAAAUGUUUGUUCAUGUUUAAAACUUGUUCAGUCAAAAGUUUGUUCGUGCUAGUUCUCAAUUAUAUUGAUGAAUUAUAGCCAGCUUAUUAUUC
rnacentral:lncRNA from 1 species